AUUUUAUCCUAUUAUAAUUCAUGGUAAUGCUUAUUGAAAUAACAUAUAAAAAAUCAACCUUACUGUAUUAUUGAUUUCUGCAUUGAGAAUAUUCCAAGUAGGGUUUUUAAUUUUCUUGCCUUCAUUGAUCAGAUUCCCUGAUAUCUGAGACGAAACCACGUUUUGUUUUGGCACUUAUAUUUUUUUAUUAGAAAAGUGUCAGUUGAAUGGUCGAUGUCAGUCAGACAACCAUAUGUCUUAGGAAAUACUAGACUACUACUAUCAAGAGCUGGAGAAGAGCUUGGCUGUGUGGUAUGGUAGUAUAUCCUACCUUGUGGAAAUAGCCUUUCAACCUUAAGUCCUUUUGAGUAGGACACAAGGAAGGGCCGCUUGUCCUUCUUCAGCUAGAGGGUUUGAAAACAAAACCUCUUGGUUGUCUUACCUAGAUAUUAUUUCUGCCUUUCCUAUAACAAAACCAUGCUGUUUCUUAGAUCUUAGCUCAAACGAGAAGGCUUCUCAUAAUCACUAUUAAGGAUGGAAAAUUCCAGAAACUUGGAAGAUCCAAUUGGGACUUAUGGAAAAACCUGGUAAUUUUGGGAUCAUUUCCAGAAUUUUCCAGUCCUAACCACUAUAGCUCUUUGCUCUUUUUCUCCCUAGUUUAGGAAGAGCUUAACUCAUCAAUCAAAUGUAUUUAUAAAGCCCUUCUUACAUCAGCUGAUGUCACAAAGUGCUGUACAAAAACCCAGCCUAAAACCCCAAACAGCAAGCAAUGCAGGUGUAGAAGCACGGUGGCUAGGAAAAACUCAUGUUCCUUGUACCAGCACAGAGAGCACAGGUAGGGCUGCAGCAGUGACAACUGAACAGAACCAAAUACGAGCCUCUUGACUUGAACAGAUACAACACCACCAUAAUCCAAGGGACCAUGUAACAUCAUGCUCGUAAAUGUAUUCCUCCAACUUCACUUCUUUUAUCCUAAACAUGGCUAAAAUCAAGUGCAAACACAAUCACAUCAAGCAGUUCAUUAGAUAGGGCAAAGGGCAGAGUUUAGCUCAAGUUCCGGAGGGGAAAAGAGCGAGAGAAUAAAUCUGGGAAAAGCCUACAAACGGCUCUAUGUGCACUCUGGGUAAUGUUUCCCGACAUAACCUAAAUGGCUAGUGAGUGUAAUGUAAAGGAGUUGCCAGGGUGAUGAACAUGACAUCAGCACUAUGAACUAACUCUCCCUACUCAUCUCUCUGCCUGAGGGAGAUAACACACAUAUUCACCCACAGAAAGAGAAAGAAAAGGUUUUUUAACACCAAACUAUGACCAUUUCAAAGAUUUUAGUUGUUGUGAUGUUCUGAACCACACUUGAGGAAACGUUGCCAGUCACACGAACUCUACAUCCCCAGGAGCCAUACCCAAACGCGUUUUUCGUCAGGAAGUUGUUCUGGAGGCAGCUCUGCAGAGUGGUCACUAGCUGGCACAGCCACAAAGUCAUAACAUUAACACUAACCUUAACCACACUACUAACCCUAAUGCCUAAUCCUAUCCUUGAAUUAAGACCAAAAAUGUAAUUUUAGUUUUCAUGGAUUUUUCCAAUAUAGCCAACGUUGACUUUCCAGCUGGCCUAAGGGUAAAUCGCUCAGUUCUGCCUCUAGGACAAGACUCAUGAAAAUAAGCGUCAACCUGCUACCCAAACAGAAGAUUACAACACCCGUUCUCAAAUGUUUCUCGUGUUUCCCUGUUGCUUUUUCAGUCAAUGUGACCGCCCCAUACAGUGGUUCAAAUCUGUUUCUUUUGUAAACAGAUUGUAAAAAAGACAUAGCGAAUGAGAAAGUAUUGUUUUUUUGCUUUAUGAUUCUUUACAUAUAUAUAUCAAUCACUGAAUUGUAUUGCCUAGCUUAUUUUUCUAUUCAUAUGUGUGACAAGGUGGACAGAAGAGGGAAGGACGUAUACUCCCAGGUUGUUUGUGUGUUGAUUUGACUAUGUUGUUGUCAGAUUUUCUCUGGUGUUAUUGGUUGGUCUUGGUCUGUACCAUGUGCCAUUUAUUCUGCAGGGGGAGUCAAAGUUGAUCCUACCCCUGCUGUAUCACAUUGCUACUAUGAUGCCCCCCCCUCUCCCCCAUCGUCAGCCGAAAGUGCAGUAGCCCAAUCACAUACAGUGGCUUAAGAUCAGGACUCAACAUACUGAGUUUUCCUUUUGACUUUGCUGAUCUCUCAAAAUAACACUUCCCCAAAAUUAGACAAACAUACACUUUUAGUGCUGUUCUGUUUUACUAAGUAGAAUGUUCCAGUCUAGCAAUGUGUCAGACACCUCCUAUUGGAGCGGACACACAAGUGCUAGAAGGAGGGGAGCAUAUGGUGUUUCGGGGGUUGAAAAAGGAUCAUCCCACAAACAUGCAGGAAGCAAUGUGUUCUGGGUAUUGUUUGCAUGCUUACAAAGUAAAACGCCCUUCCAUCCGUCCAGUCAUUGUUUCCCAUCCAUGUUAGAACAUUUACAUAUCUACAUGGUCAAAUGCUUCUGUAUUAUAUUGCACUACAAUGUAACAGCGUUAUUGCUUAAUGUUUAGUCCAUAUAAUAACCUUAGAGUGCUGGUCGAUGCCAGGUCAUAACCUUGAUGUCUGGGCUCCAGGUAGAAGCUUCCCCUUAGGCACAGAUCUAGGAUCAGCCUCCAACUCCAAUCCUACUUAACCAUUAGGGGGUGAAACACAAAACUGGCCUUAGAUCAGUGUCUCUAAAGGCAUCAUACCUACCUUCCGCUUUGUCUGAAGAUGGUGAUUAGUUAGAGGAAUUUCCUUUCUCAAAGAACUUCCUGACUUUAGCAGGAGAGGCUCAUGGGAUUGGUACCACUGCUGACCGUAACGCUGAGUCAAGCACCAGCGUCGCUAUAAAUAUCAUAUUACCGCCAUUUUGUAGAAUGAUGUCUAUAGUGAUGUCACCACUAGCACCACCACAGCCACCUCUCUCACCCUAUCGCAAAAAACACAUCUGUUCUGCGGUGUCACACAGUUUACAGACCUGAAGGGACAGCAAACACGGCAACGUUGAGACAACGCCGUGUGGCGGUUGUGUGUUAGCUGGGAGUCUUCUAUAGUGUGUGGUGAUGAGAAUUUGAGCAAAGAAAAUGUGUACUUUUAUUUUUGUUAAGACCAUUGUUGUCCAGAGUCACAGGUUAGCUGAUGGUUUGGAGAUUGAGAGAAUUUGAUAAAGAUUUUUCUAUGUAUUUUGUCAUUUGUUUUCGUUCUCAGAAAAUGAAACAGAUGGCCGAAAAGUGAUUUUAAUUGUUCAGUCAGUCCUCUCUUUGUAAAGAAGGUACAACAUAUCUUUUUAAUUUAUUCAGAGAUUUGUUCAUUUUUUUCUUUCAAUCUACAUCCUCCGCGAAAGUUUCAUCAUAAUUAUAUUGUUUUUAUAUAAACAAACAUUGCUGUUUUUAGAGUGCAAUUAAAGUGCAAUUUUAAUGUAAGUUCCGAAAGGUCAUUUCCGGGGAUGCAAUCCCUUUUCUCUCCCAGAUGUUAAAGAUCCAACAGAGAUCAAUCAUGAUAACAAUAAAACAUGUCAUACUGUGAAGGUUUCUGAA
rnacentral:lncRNA from 1 species